rnacentral:piRNA from 1 species
UUAAUCUUUGAAGACUGUGGGCU